rnacentral:rRNA from 1 species
UGGGGAAUAUUGCACAAUGGGCGCAAGCCUGAUGCAGCCAUGCCGCGUGUAUGAAGAAGGCCUUCGGGUUGUAAAGUACUUUCAGCGGGGAGGAAGGGAGUAAAGUUAAUACCUUUGCUCAUUGACGUUACCCGCAGAAGAAGCACCGGCUAACUCCGUGCCAGCAGCCGCGGUAAUACGGAGGGUGCAAGCGUUAAUCGGAAUUACUGGGCGUAAAGCGCACGCAGGCGGUUUGUUAAGUCAGAUGUGAAAUCCCCGGGCUCAACCUGGGAACUGCAUCUGAUACUGGCAAGCUUGAGUCUCGUAGAGGGGGGUAGAAUUCCAGGUGUAGCGGUGAAAUGCGUAGAGAUGUGGAGGAAUACCGGUGGCGAACGCGGCCCCCUGGACAAAGACUGACGCUCAGGUGCGAAAGCGUGGGGAGCAAACAGG